CUACACUUCUGAUACAAAGAACAUCGGUUAACCGGUGCCCCUUAAUGUUUAUACAUUUCUAAAACUUGCAUUCUUUCCCUAUUUAAUAACCACGCAUUCACUUAGUCAUUCUCCUUUCUCUCUCCUCUUGUUCCCCCUUUCUAUCUCCUUUCUCUCCUCUAUCAAUCCACCGCCACUCCUUAGCUUCCCCACCACCACCCCUUUUACCUCCAACCCACUUUAUCUCUCCAUUUCUUCUCUUUGUUAGCUCUCGUUCUCCUUCUCCUUUGAAAAUCAGCGUCAAUUCGAACCAAAUACAACCAUCGUUUUUCAAUUCCCAAAUUCAAGUUAUUUAGGGUUUUGAUUUCAAUUAAUUUUUCAAUUUUUUAUGGUUAAUUUUUUUAUUGUAUUUGAUUCUCGUAUUCAACAUGCAGUUGAAUUUGGGAUGUCCAUGGAGCUAAUUUUGUCAAAGUUGACCAGGAGACUCUUCGAUUUCAUCCUUAUCGGGAAUUAAAAUUGGGUUUUGGAUUGAUUUUCUGAGUUAUGUUUUUGCGUUUAUCGAAUGACUUGAAGCUUGAACCUGUUGCCUUGCUUCCCUACAGUGCACCCCUGCUACUGCUACUUUUGCUCUGCUGUAGCUGCUACUUUUGCUCUGUCGAGAUUGGGGGCAGGAACUGUACAGUAACAAUAUCAAGGGGCCAAUACCUAGUGAGCUGGGCAAUCUGACAAAUUUUAUCAGUUUGGAUCUCUAUUUGAACAAUUUCAGCGGUCCAAUUCCACCAUUCCGGAGUCUUUGGGUUACAUAUGGAUCUAUAAUCAAAUUGGUGCAUGAAAUAACAAAAUUCAGGCUGCAUUCAGGUAGCUCUAUUCCCUAAUAUGGACAUUGGAUUCUCUUAAGUGUUGUUGCUUCGGUACUGCUGCUGUUUAGCUACUGUGAUGCUACUAGGCUACUGUUAUAUAUUGUUUUUUGUUUUUUUUAAGUGUAAAAUUACAGGUUAUUGAUGGAUGAAAAUUAUUAGUUUCAAGUA